rnacentral:lncRNA from 1 species
AAAACUAACAAAUUAAAACUGGUAAACCAAUACAUUGAAGAUGGAAACCAUUACUAAACAUUUUUUCUGAAUUGUUUUUGAACUAAUGUACGAAAAAGCUAACAGGAUACUAACUACAAUAAACGUGAACUGUGCUACUAACCUAAUAGAAUGUCGAAGGCUCAUAUGAAACUGAGAAUUAUCAGUUUAUACAGUCCAUUACAAAUAAACUAAAGUGACGAAUUCAUCCAACGAAUUACAGAACUAACUACAGUUUAAUGAACUAGUAAAGCAUUAAAAGACAACAAGUAUCAAUCAGAAGCUGCAUUUCCAUUUCAGUGGAGUAACUACAUCAGAUGGAAUCCAGAAGAUGUACCUGGAAACCGAGUUAUAUAAGAAGAAGAAGAAGAAGAUGAAGAAGAAGAAGAAGAAGAAGAAGAAGAAGAAGAAGAAGAAGGUCAAGAAUAUUUUCGCAGGAAAACUAUUCCAAACACAGCAACAGCAGAUAUAGUAGCAAUAGUCAGCAACAAGAAUGAUUCAAACCCAAAUCAACCAGGAAAUGUCAACAGGAAAACCAACCACAACAACAAAUGAUCCAAAUAAACUUGAAUAACAACACAAUGACUCAACAGGCACCCAAGCUCCUUCGAAAUUGAACUUAACUAUUUUUGAACAGUCAUUAAUGUAAAACUGACCAAAAAUCUACUCAAGCAGACCUCAAAUCCUUUCCAACCAGUUACCAAAUAACUCUGAAUGCCUUUGACAAACUUAGAAGUAGAGCAGAAAGGGGGGAGAUUCAGGUAAAACUUGAAAAUGAACUCAACUAGCAAUGAAACAAUAAAGUUUGAAUUUUGGUUUUUUAGAGAUUUUCUAUUGUUUUUGAGUUUUUGAAUGCUUAAAUUUUCAAAACUAGAUCUGGAACUCAAGGAGAGUUUUUUGGGGAUUUAUCUUGCUGAUAAAAAAAAGACCCUUAGCAAAGCAAUUUUGAUGCCCUUUUAUAAGCAAGUAAGGUGAGUGAU